rnacentral:rRNA from 1 species
GACGAACGCUGGCGGCGUGCUUAACACAUGCAAGUCGAACGAAGAGCGAUGGAAGCUUGCUUCUAUCAAUCUUAGUGGCGAACAGGUGAGUAACGCGUAAUCAACCUGCCCUUCAGAGGGGGACAACAGUUGGAAACGACUGCUAAUACCGCAUACGAUCCAAUCUCGGCAUCGGGACUGGAUGAAAGGUGGCCUCUAUUUAUAAGCUAUCACUGAAGGAGGGGAUUGCGUCUGAUUAGCUAGUUGGAGGGGUAACGGCCCACCAAGGCGAUGAUCAGUAGCCGGUCUGAGAGGAUGAACGGCCACAUUGGGACUGAGACACGGCCCAGACUCCUACGGGAGGCAGCAGUGGGGAAUCUUCCGCAAUGGACGAAAGUCUGACGGAGCAACGCCGCGUGAGUGAUGACGGCCUUCGGGUUGUAAAGCUCUGUUAAUCGGGACGAAUGGUUCUUGUGCGAAUAGUGCGAGGAUUUGACGGUACCGGAAGAGAAAGCCACGGCUAACUACGUG